GUGCCAGACUCCUACGGGAGGCAGCAGUGAGGAAUAUUGGUCAAUGGACGAGAGUCUGAACCAGCCAAGUAGCGUGAAGGAUGACUGCCCUAUGGGUUGUAAACUUCUUUUAUAUGGGAAUAAAAUGUUCCACGUGUGGGAUUUUGUAUGUACCAUAUGAAUAAGGAUCGGCUAACUCCGUGCCAGCAGCCGCGGUAAUACGGGGGAUCCGAGCGUUAUCCGGAUUUAUUGGGUUUAAAGGGAGCGUAGGGGGAUUGUUAAGUCAGUUGUGAAAGUUUGCGGCUCAACCGUAAAAUUGCAGUUGAAACUGGCAGUCUUGAGUACAGUAGAGGUGGGCGGAAUUCGUGGUGUAGCGGUGAAAUGCUUAGAUAUCAUGAAGAACUCCGAUCGCGAAGGCAAGUGUCCGGGGUGCAACUGACGCUGAGGCUCGAAGGUGCGGGUAUCAAACAGGAUUAGAUACCCUGGUAAAA
rnacentral:rRNA from 1 species